AUUGAACGCUGGCGGCAGGCCUAACACAUGCUAGUCGCGCGAGCGGCUGACGGGGGAGUAAUGUCUGGGAAACUUCCUGAUGGAGGGGGAUAACUACUGGAAACGGUAGCUAAUACUGCAUACCAUCAGAUGUGCCAAGAUGGGAUUAGCUCGUAGGUGGGGUAACGGCUCACCUAGGCGACGAUCCAUAGCUGGUCUGAGAGGAUGACCAGAGAAACUGGAACUGAGAAACGGUGCAGAGUAAAAAGGGAGGCAGCAGUGGGGAAUAUUGCACAAUGGGCGGAAGACUGAUGCAGCCAUGCCGCGUGUGUGAAGAAGGCCUUCGGGUUGUAAAGCACUUUCAGCGGGGAGGCGUUACCCGCAGAAGAAGCACCGGCUAACUCCGUGCCAGCAGCCGCGGUAAUUC
rnacentral:rRNA from 1 species